UACGGGGGGAGCAAGCGUUGUUCGGAAUUACUGGGCGUAAAGGGCGCGUAGGCGGCCUUCUAAGUCGAACGUGAAAUCCCCGGGCUCAACCCGGGAACUGCGUCCGAUACUGGAAGGCUUGAAUCCGGGAGAGGGAUGCGGAAUUCCAGGUGUAGCGGUGAAAUACGUAGAUAUCUGGAGGAACACCGGUGGCGAAGGCGGCUACCUGGCCCAACAUUGACGCUGAGACCCGAAAGCGUGGGGAUCAAACAGG
rnacentral:rRNA from 1 species